rnacentral:rRNA from 1 species
AGGGAAUCUUGCGCAAUGGGCGAAAGCCUGACGCAGCAACGCCGCGUGCGGGACGAAGGCCCUCGGGUUGUAAACCGCUUUCAGUAGGAACGAAACUGACGGUACCUGCAGAAGAAGGUGCGGCCAACUACGUGCCAGCAGCCGCGGUGACACGUAGGCACCAAGCGUUGUCCGGAUUUAUUGGGCGUAAAGAGCUCGUAGGCGGUUCAGUAAGUCGGGUGUGAAAACUCUGGGCUUAACCCAGAGACGCCACCCGAUACUGCUGUGACUAGAGUGCGGUAGGGGAGUGGGGAAUUCCUGGUGUAGCGGUGAAAUGCGCAGAUAUCAGGAGGAACACCGGUGGCGAAGGCGCCACUCUGGGCCGUAACUGACGCUGAGGAGCGAAAGCGUGGGUAGCAAAC